UUCCCCUCUCCCUUUUCCUUAAAGCUGAUGCGCUGUGUGUCUAUAUCGCCUUCAGACGGGUGGAAUUAGAUCAGACCACAGACAGUCCCAAUGAUGUCACUUCCAGGUCACUGUCCUUUGGUCCCAACCCUUCUGGUCUGACUUCUUCUUAAGACGCUCCAUCACCAUUUUGUACCAGUUAUGAUUUUGACAACUGUCUGAAAAGACCUUAUUGCAUUUUCCCACUCUUUUUUCAACUUUUUUCCACCAAUUAUAUGUGGUUUGCCUUCAAGGCGCCCAUACUCUUUAUCUCGUCAUGUCUCCUGUUUUAGAAUAUAUAGAUAGAUUUGUCACAAAGAUUUUACCUGAGUUGAAAUCAAGUUAUUGUUCCACAUAUACUCUUUAUGGUUUUCAGUCAUUAUAUGUGCAAUGUUAUUUAACAGAAUUGCAAACUCUACGAUGUAGACAUAUAACACAGACCAUUAGUUAAAAAAAAGAAUGAAGACAAAAUAAGUGUUUUGAGUAUAUUUUGAAGUGGACACCUGUAUCUGUUCUUGUAUUACUCCUUGAAGAAGGAUGCAUCUUCUGCCUAAAUAUGAAUGUUAAAAUCUAAGGAACUUAAAGUACAAACUGUAGGAGUUUCAAAGUGGGUGACUCACAACAUGUAACUAAAUGGGGGCAGUCUUUAUGGCAGGAUAGAGAUGUGAAACAAUCAGCCUGCAGUUGGUUCACUUUGUUUGUUUCAUUUCUCUGCUCGUUCUGCACUUCACUGAGUUUCCUUUGUUAAUGGAUACUAUAUUUAAGGAGGUUUAACACUUUCAUUUUGUUUAGGAUUUUUUCAUUAGUUUUCUGUCUGUAGACGGGGCCUUGUUAUGAAAUGUCAACUCCAGUCUAUCCUAUCAUGCGCUUUUCUUUUCAUACUAAUCAUACCAUCAAAUCUUUUCUUUUCAGUCUUGAUAACAUUUUAUCUUCUUUUUGCUAAUUUUCUUCUAAAGUUCCCCAAUGUGGUAUUGAAAGAGGCCAACAUGGUCUGUAGUUCAUUUUUUAAUUUGGUCAUCUCCAGAUUUGAUUUGGUUUUAUCAUUUGUGCACCAAAUUUUAUUCCUAUAUUCAUAUUUCCGUGUGUUUUUUAUUUGCAUGAUGACACAAGACAACUAUGACUAACUCCUCUUGCAUUAAUCAAAAGACCUGUUGUUUCUUUCAUCAAGUCUCAUCUUUGCUGUCUGUCACAUAUCCAGUGCUUAUAUCGGUCUUCAGUCCUGAACACUUUACAACAUUUAUUAAUUUGAGCCAAUUUACAAUGUCUAAUGAUCAACAACACAGAAAAGAUAUCUUGCCCACAUUCAGUGCUUUGCUCAGUAAUGAUUUUCAGCAUUGCGAUUACAUUUUUUGUUCCUGUAUCUCUUUUGAAUCUCAGUUAAUCUCUGCUGAUGUAUUCUUCUCUGUUCUUUUGUUUAUUAUUUUCAAUAGCAAUUUCGAGGAAUGAUAUGUGAAGUUUAUGGUACAAUGGCCCUUACACAAGAUCACAUUUGUCCUUUUUUCCAUAAAUCUUAUGAUACUUUUCAAAAAGUCAUCAGACCUCACUCCAUUGUCAUAUAUGUUUUUGCCUUCUGAAUUUUCUUUUUAUGUUUUUCCUGUCCUCCUUGCCAUCGGACCUUACUUUAUUCUUUGUUACUUAAUAAUCUUAUUUUUAUAUUUUCCUUUUUUCUUUUUUCAUCUUGUAAAGCACUUUGACCUACAUAAUUUGUAUGAAAAUGUGCUAUAUAAAUAAAUGUUGUUGUUGUUUACAAAGAAUCACUAACUCAUUCUCUCCUUCUAUCCCUAUUAUUUUCAACCUUUCAUCUGGAACUCCACCCAUUCCUUUUUUCUUCCCUUCUUUCAAUUUUUUUCAGCUACUCUUGUUACAACAAUUCUACUCCCAUCUGAUUGAUAUUAAGCUCUUCUUUAUUUUCCAUAACGAUUUCUUGAGUUUUUUUAACCUUUCCUUUAAAAUCUUUGAAAUAUUCUCUCUGUUGAAUUUUAUUAUUUUCAAUCUCCAUUCAUAAUACUCCUUUGUGAUUUUGUAUUUGUAGUCUUUGUUUCCCUUGUCUUUUCAUAUCAGUUAGUUCUAUGUCUUUUUGGUACAAAGCAUCAGUUCUUUUGUCUCUAUUUCAUUCUACCUGUUCUUUUUAUCGCUUCAUCUGUCUCUCUCCACAGUUAAUUGUUCAGUCUUAUGUGCUGUCUUUGUCCUUGUUCUGUCCAUGGAUUGUUCCUUUCUACAGUGAUCCAUUUUCCCUAACAUUCACUCUGUGACUCAAGGUUUCUUCACUGUUUUUUCUCCUCCCAUCCAAUAUUUUCUUGUACAUUUUCUAGGACUGCUUGCUUCAGAUUCAACAUUCCCUAUUCUCAUUCUCUAUAUUCCUGUUUUUUCUUAAUAGCCUUUCUCUUAGUCUUUCAGUAAAUGUUCAUUAAUUUUUUUCCAUAGUUCACUGUAUCCAUUAUCCACUAAAUCUACUUCUAAUUUACAUUCAUUAAAAUUAGUCUGUGGGUUGUGUUAUGGAUAGUAGGAGACAUUCUUCACCUUGUUUCUAUACUGUUGUCACACCAUAAUUUAAUCAAUUUGAAUUCUUCUGACAUCACUUGGAGCCUUCCAUCUAUAAAGUGUCCUUUUUUCUUGAUGAAAGUAUGUGUUUAUCAGACAGAGCUGAAUGGUCUAACAAACUACCCUUUCUCAUUUUGUUUUACUAAGACUAUAUUUCAUUAUUAGGCUCUCUUCUUCUCUACCACUCAUUACAUUUACAGUCUUUUCCUUUUCCCUUUUUCAUUAUAUCCUCGGCGUGUUCAUUACUAGAUUCUGCUUAUUUUGCCUUGUGAUCUGUUGUUGCCAUACAGGCUACUUCUACCACCAUGUCUAUGGUAUGCAUGUAAGAUCCUAAGCCUGAAAAACCUAAGCACUUUACCAAAAUAUCAAAGGCCAAGUAGCUGAGCUUCC